rnacentral:rRNA from 1 species
AUGGCUUCCAGACUCGCUAGCUGCUUCCCCUGCCUGAGCACGAGGAAGAAGGAAGUCCCCCCAUCUCCUCCGGCCUAUCCACGCAGCCGCAACCCUUCUGCGCCACAAACUUUCUCCUUCGAGGAGAUCGCGGCGGCGACAAGUAACUUCAGCGAUGACUGUCCCGUUGUUGGUUUGGAGGGUCUUUACAAAGGCUACCUCAAGAGCAUCAACCAGGUCGUUGCUAUAAGGCUGCAGCCUGUUAUUGAUCCUAAUGCAUCAGCAGAUCAAGAGAUCAUGGAGUUUCUUGGCCAUGUCCUAAAGAUCAGCGCGCUGCGCCACCCGAACCUCCUGAGUCUGAUAGGCUUCUGCGCGGUCGGUGAUCACAGGAUCUUGGUUCACGAGUACAUGCCAUUGGGUUCUCUGGAAGAUCACCUCCACGAUCCAUCUCCGGGCAAAUCACCGCUGGACUGGAACACAAGGAUGACCAUUGCCGCCGGCGUGGCCAGAGGGUUGAAGUAUCUGCACGAUAAAGGUUUCGUCUACCCAUGCAUGAGAAGCCGGGACAUCUUUCUCGGAGACGGCUACCACCCAAAGCUGUCCCAAUAUGGACUGGCGGAGCAUGACCGGCUAGCUGCUCAGCUUGCCAAGGGCUGGAAUGUUCGUUUCCCCAGAGAUAUUACUUUUGCCGAGACCUGGAUGGUCGGGAAGCCGCUCCCGGAGUCGAAUGUUUACGGCUUUGGCGUGGUGCUGCUGGAGAUGAUCACAGGGCGGAGGGCCUUCAACGACGACCAGGAUGCCGUGGGAGAUCGACACCUUGUCCAAUGGGCCCAGCCAUUCCUGGCGAACGUGCGCCAGUUCGAACUCUGCCGGAUGGCAGACCCAGCGCUGCAGGGCCGAUAUCCGUCCUUCGACUUGCGGAAGGCCGUGGCAUAUGCUGGGCUGUGCAUCCAAGAACGGCCCGAUAUGAGAGCGCGCAUCGACACCGUAGUCAAGGUUCUGUCUCACCUCGCCAAUGAUGUUGAUCGACCUGAAUCAUCACACCACGCGGCUCCUAAUUAA